rnacentral:rRNA from 1 species
UCGAGCUUCGAGCGGCCCGUACCCCAAACCGACACAGGUGGUCAGGUAGAGAAUACCGAGGCGAUCGGGCGAACUGUGGUUAAGGAACUCGGCAAAUUACCCCCGUAACUUCGGGAGAAGGGGGGCCACAGACUGUCAUACCCCACGCGGGUGGCAGCAGUAGGUGGCCGCAGAGACCAGGGGGAAGCGACUGUUUACUAAAAACACAGGUCCGUGCGAAGUCGUAAGACGAUGUAUACGGACUGACGCCUGCCCGGUGCUGGAACGUUAAGGGGACCGGUUAGUCCGCAAGGGCGAAGCUGAGAACUUAAGCGCCAGUAAACGGCGGUGGUAACUAUAACCAUCCUAAGGUAGCGAAAUUCCUUGUCGGGUAAGUUCCGACCUGCACGAAUGGCGUAACGACUUCCCUACUGUCUCAACCACAGGCCCGGCGGAAUUGCACUACGAGUAAAGAUGCUCGUUACGCGCGGAAGGACGGAAAGACCCCGGGACCUUCACUAUAGCUUGACAUUGGUAUCCGAAUUUAAUUGUGUAGGAUAGGUGGGAGGCUUUGAUCCGCGGACGCCAGUCCGUCGGGGAGCCAACGUUGAAAUACCACUCUGUUGACUUUGGGUAUCUAACUUCGGACCGUGAUCCGGUUCAGGGACAGUGUCUGGUGGGUAGUUUAACUGGGGCGGUUGCCUCCUAAAAUGUAACGGAGGCGCCCAAAGGUUCCCUCAGCCUGGUUGGCAAUCAGGUGUUGAGUGCAAGUGCACAAGGGAGCUUGACUGUGAGACUGACAGGUCGAGCAGGGACGAAAGUCGGGACUAGUGAUCCGGCACCUGCGAGUGGAAGCGGUGUCGCUCAACGGAUAAAAGGUACCCCGGGGAUAACAGGCUGAUCUUCCCCAAGAGUCCAUAUCGACGGGAUGGUUUGGCACCUCGAUGUCGGCUCGUCGCAUCCUGGGGCUGGAGUAGGUCCCAAGGGUUGGGCUGUUCGCCCAUUAAAGCGGCACGCGAGCUGGGUUUAGAACGUCGUGAGACAGUUCGGUCCCUAUCCUCCGCGCGCGUAGGAGACUUGAGAAGAGCUGUCCCUAGUACGAGAGGACCGGGACGGACGAACCUCGGGUGUGCCAGUUGUCAUGCCAAUGGCACGGCUGGUUAGCUACGUUCGGAAGGGAUAACCGCUGAAAGCAUCUAAGCGGGAAGCUCGCUUCAAGAUGAGGUCUCCCACCCCUUAGAGGGUUAAGGCCCCCAGCUAGACCACUGGGUUGAUAGGCCAGAAGUGUAAGCCUGGUAACAGGUUCAGCCGACUGGUACUAAUAGGCCGAGGACUUCACCU